rnacentral:rRNA from 1 species
AACGAACGCUGGCGGCAGGCUUAACACAUGCAAGUCGAACGCCCCGCAAGGGGAGUGGCGCACGGGUGAGUAACGCGUGGGAAUAUGCCCUUCGGUUCGGAAUAACACAGGGAAACUUGUGCUAAUACCGGAUACGAUCUACGGAUGAAAGAUUUAUCGCCGAGGGAGUAGCCCGCGUAGGAUUAGCUAGUUGGUGAGGUAAUGGCUCACCAAGGCGACGAUCCUUAGCUGGUCUGAGAGGAUGAUCAGCCACACUGGGACUGAGACACGGCCCAGACUCCUACGGGAGGCAGCAGUGGGGAAUAUUGGACAAUGGGGGAAACCCUGAUCCAGCCAUGCCGCGUGAGUGAUGAAGGCCUUAGGGUUGUAAAGCUCUUUCGCCAGGGAAGAUAAUGACGGUACCUGGAAAAGAAGCCUCGGCUAACUCCAUGCCAGCAGCCGCCGUAAUAC